rnacentral:pre_miRNA from 1 species
AAUACGUGCAAUUUUGCACUGUUCAUAUUUAACGUUUGACCGUUCAUCUUAUUUGAAAUUUUUUUAUGAUUAAUAUUUUUAUUGUUAUUAGAUGAUAAAACAUCAAUAGUACUUUAUGUGCGUGUGUUCAUAGGGGUGAGUGGCGUGCGUUGUGAGUGUCUACGUAGUAUUGUGUAAUUCUAAAAAAAAAGUACUUUAUGUGUGACAUUUUUUUAAUUUUUUUCAUAAAUUUUUAAAUAAGAUGAACGGUCAAAGAUCAGAUGUGGAUUUUCAUGGCUGCACUUAUU